GUCUUUGUAGCUCAACGGUAGAGCAUGCAACUCAGAAUUAGUUCUUGAUCACCAUCAAUCCGCAUAGAUGAGGGUUCGAAUCCCUCCAGAGACA